AUACGGAGGGUGCAAGCGUUACUCGGAAUCACUGGGCGUAAAGGACGCGUAGGCGGAUUGGAAAGUCAGAUGUGAAAUCCUACAGCUUAACUGUAGAACUGCAUUUGAAACUUCUAAUCUAGAGUAUGGGAGGGGGAGAUGGAAUUAGUGGUGUAGGGGUAAAAUCCGUAGAUAUCACUAGGAAUACCGAAAGCGAAGGCGAUCUCCUGGAACAUAACUGACGCUAAGGCGUGAAAGCGUGGGGAGCAAACGGGAUUAGAAACCCCAGUAGUCC
rnacentral:rRNA from 1 species